UACGUAGGUUCCGAGCGUUAUCCGGAUUUACUGGGCGUAAAGCGCGUUCAGGCGGUUUGGCAAGUCGGGCGUGAAAUCUCUCGGCUCAACCGGGAGAGGUUGUCCGAUACUGCUGGACUUGAGGGCAGUAGAGGGUGGUGGAAUUCCGGGUGUAGUGGUGAAAUGCGUAGAUAUCCGGAGGAACACCAGUGGCGAAAGCGGCCCCCUGGACUGUACCUGACGCUGAGACGCGAAAGCUAGGGGAGCGAACGGG
rnacentral:rRNA from 1 species